rnacentral:rRNA from 1 species
AACGCGAAGAACCUUACCUGGGCUCGAAAUAUAGAGGACGAUAACAGAGAUGUUAUUUCCCGAAAGGGCUUUUAUAUAGGUGCUGCAUGGCUGUCGUCAGCUCGUGCCGUGAGGUGUUUGGUUAAGUCCAGCAACGAGCGCAACCCUUAUCGUUAGUUGCCAACAUGUAAUGGUGGGAACUCUAACGAGACUGCCUGGGUUAACCAGGAGGAAGGUGAGGAUGACGUCAAGUCCGCAUGGCCUUUAUGUCCAGGGCUACACACGUGCUACAAUGGUCGGUACAGAAGGCAGCGAAACCGCAAGGUGAAGCAAAUCCCACAAAACCGAUCUCAGUUCAGAUUGUAGUCUGCAACUCGACUACAUGAAGUUGGAAUUGCUAGUAAUGGCGUGUCAGCAACAACGCCGUGAAUACGUUCCCGGGCCUUGUACACACCGCUCGUC